ACAUUGCUGAAAGGAGGCGCGCAAGCGCUUGUGCUAAACUUCUAUUUUCUGGAGAAAGUGGAUUUAAUUUUGGUUGAUCCUAUGAAAACGCACCAGUGUUUUUCAUAUCUGCAGUGAGUCGACUAAACUUUUCCCCUUGCUGCCUUUUUGGAGCGAAGUUUCUCCGUGGACGCUGACGAGCGCCAGGGACCCGUUCUGUUUCAUUUCUGUGGAAAUCUAUGGACAGAAACAAAUGGACUGAACACACAGUAAGAAGGCUUACGUCUGGGCAGAGAUAAGUAGUGUGUUUUAGUAAUGAGCAAAGCCAUGAUUUAGAGGAGGAGGAAUGUCUGGCAUACACUCAAGACUCCUCCUGUGUACCGCAGCCUGAUAGCUUGCCCGCUGGAUGUGUUUAUGCGAGUCUUUGUUUGGAGGUAAGUCUCUCUCAGAACAUUUACCUGAUUUGAACAGUUUAGCCCUCACAAUAUUGACGUCUUGGCAGUCCUUCUGAUCAUAUAGGUCACACGUGUAAGCUUCCAGAGCCUCACAUAGUUGUGGUGAUGGGGUGAAAUUUGUUCCUAGUUCUCUAAACAUAGUGAUGUAUUCUGUUUUUGAACUUAGUUUGUUGUAUGCUUUUGCUUUCCCAUCCUUAUGCAGAGCGCUCACAGUGUCACAUCCAGAAAAGGCAUGCAGACCCACAAGGGCAUCACAUUUGUCUUCCCCAGAUGGGCAUGUAGCUUGGUAAUGUCAGUAAUGUGUGUGUUUCUCCCCUUGGCAGUAUGGAAAUGGAGGUGGCCAUCAAUGUGGCUACAGAAAGCUAGAGCCAGCACAGAGACAUCCGUGUCUGGGCUCUUGAUUACCAGGUCAUGGCUGUAUUUGGCUGCAUGGGCUGCAUGCAGCAUCAUUCUGGUGUCUGCCUCCUCUUGCCUUGUCUCUAGGUCUUUGAGUUCCAGUAUCUCAAGGUGGAGGAGGUGGAGAUUUGAGAAGCGCUACGCACGGGAGGUUCGGUCCAGAGAGGGAUAUUGGAUCACAUUGAUUCUUCAGAUCCCAGAGUCUUCCAGGGGUUACAGAUUCCCAGUUCAGUGGGCUGGGUGGCAGCUACAGGAUCAAGACUCAGAACUUAUACGGAUUGCCCUGGAUUCCUUCUUCAUGGUGGUAGGACAAACAG